UUUAAAACUUGAAAGACAAUUUUUAGGUUUUGGAGAAAGGAGAAUGAAGAGCGAGAGGAGGAAAGGGAUGAAAAGGGAAGGAGAGUGGGAAUGGGGAGGAGAGCUUGAGAGACCUUUAAAACUACUCAAAGAAACCUAUUUCAUGAAUGUAGAAAUGAGUGGCAUGGGAGAGACAAUUAAAAUCAACUUCAAGCAUCCAAGCUCUUGCAAAGGUAUAUGUCUUUCUUUUAUUAAAAUAAGUUGGAUACAUUGUAUUAUUUUCUUUUUUAUCUGUAUAUGUUAUAUCAACGAAUUGAUCACCAAUUGCCUCUCUCCUGCUGCAUGCAGACUUUCAUCCGAAGACAGAAGAGUUGAGCUUGGAGUAUCACAGAACAAGGCCAGCGGAUCAUCAGGUGAAGAAAAUCUGCAAGAGAAAGAAAUCAUGAUUUGCAGCAAACUUCAAGUACGUAUUUUCUCUCUAUCUUGCUAAAAUUAAUAUUUGGUUCAAUUUUUUUUUGUUUUUGUUUUUUUGUGUGUACUGUUUCAAUUGUAGAAGAAUUGCCAAAACACAAGCAGAUUGAUAAAGGCAGGCAUGAGUGAGCAAGUUUUGUGACCAUUAUGUAGAGCCAUAAUGUUAUGGAACAAGAUAAACACAAAUUUUUUGAUUGUGAAAAUUCUUCUAGUGUACAUGCAUUGAAUUCUAAUUGUAAAUUGAUAUUGUGGUAUAAAUUAUUAGUGUGAUUUUCCAUUAAUUUUCAUGGUGAAUGAUUACUUUGGAAUUUUAGGAAUUUUGUGGGGUGUACCGAAACGUCAUUAUCUAAUGUUAUUUACAACAGUGGUUUUUCAUAGAAAACAUUAUCU
rnacentral:lncRNA from 1 species